UCUACGGGUGGCAGCAGUGGGGAAUAUUGGACAAUGGGCGAAAGCCUGAUCCAGCCAUGCCGCGUGUGUGAAGAAGGCCUUCGGGUUGUAAAGCACUUUCAGUGGGGAAGAAAGCCUUGGGGCUAAUACCCUCGAGGAAGGACAUCACCCACAGAAGAAGCACCGGCUAACUCCGUGCCAGCAGCCGCGGUAAUACGGAGGGUGUGAGCGUUAAUCGGAAUUACUGGGCGUAAAGCGCGCGUAGGCGGUCUGAUAAGCCGGUUGUGAAAGCCCCGGGCUCAACCUGGGAACGGCAUCCGGAACUGUCAGGCUAGAGUGCAGGAGAGGAAGGUAGAAUUCCCGGUGUAGCGGUGAAAUGCGUAGAGAUCGGGAGGAAUACCAGUGGCGAAGGCGGCCUUCUGGACUGACACUGACGCUGAGGUGCGAAAGCGUGGGUAGCAAACAGGAUUAGAUACCCUGGUAGUC
rnacentral:rRNA from 1 species